AUUGAACGCUGGCGGCAGGCCUAACACAUGCAAGUCGAGCGCGCGGCGGACGGGUGAGUAAUGUAUGUGGAUCUGCCCGAUAGCGGGGGAUAACUCCUGGAAACGCUAUCUAAUACCGCAUCCCCUCAGAUGAACCCCUAUGGGAUUAGCUGGUAGGUGGGGUAACGGCUCACCUAGGCGACGAUCCCUCGCUGGUCUGAGAGGAUGAUCAGCCACACUGGGACUGAGACACGGCCCAGACUCCUACGGGAGGCAGCAGUGGGGAAUAUUGCACAAUGGGCGCAAGCCUGAUGCAGCCAUGCCGCGUGUAUGAAGAAGGCCUUCGGGUUGUAAAGUACUUUCAGUCGGGAGGCGUUACCGACAGAAGAAGCACCGGCUAACUCCGUGCCAGCAGCCGCGGUAAUUC
rnacentral:rRNA from 1 species